AUUGAACGCUGGCGGCAGGCUUAACACAUGCCAGUCGAGCGGGGUGAUAGUGCUUGCACUAUCACUUAGCGGCGGACGGGUGAGUAAUGCUUAGGAAUCUGCCUAUUAGUGGGGGACAACAUCUCGAAAGGGCUGCUAAUACCGCAUACGUCCUACGGGAGAAAGCAGGGGAGCACUUGUGACCUUGCCCUAAUAGAUGAGCCUAAGUGGGCUUAGCUAGUGGGUGGGGUACAGGCGUACCAAGGCGACGAUCUGUAGCGGGGCUGAGAGGAUGAUCCGCCACACUGGGACUGAGAGACGGCCCAGAAUCCUACGGGAGGGAGCAGGUGGGAAUAUUGGACAAUGGGGGGAACCCUGAUCCAGCCAUGCCGCGUGUGUGAAGAAGGCCUUAUGGUUGUAAAGCACUUUAAGCGAGGAGGAGGCUCUUUUGGUUAAUACCCAAGAUGAGUGGACGUUACUCGCAGAAUAAGCACCGGCUAACUCUGUGCCAGCCGCCGCGGUAA
rnacentral:rRNA from 1 species